rnacentral:rRNA from 1 species
UACAGAGGUCUCAAGCGUUGUUCGGAUUCAUUGGGCGUAAAGGGUGCGUAGGUGGCGCGCUAAGUCAGGUGUGAAAUUUCGGAGCUUAACUCCGAAACUGCAUUUGAUACUGGCGUGCUUGAGGACUGGAGAGGAGACUGGAAUUCACGGUGUAGCAGUGAAAUGCGUAGAUAUCGAGAGGAACACCUGCGGCGAAGGCGGGUUGCUGGGCUGACACUGACGCUGAUGCGCGAAAGCUAGGGGAGCGAACGGG